GUCCACGCCCUAAACGUUGAAUACUCGGUCUUGGCGAUAUACAGUCAGGGCCCAAGCGAAAGCGUUAAGUAUUCCACCUGGGAAGUACGUUCGCAAGAAUGAAACUCAAAGGAAUUGACGGGGCCCGCACAAGCGGAGGAGCAUGUGGUUUAAUUCGAUGAUACGCGAGAAACCUUACCUGGGCUUGAAUGUGAGUGACCGAUGCCGAAAGGUGUCUUCCCCGCAAGGGGCACAAAACAAGGUGCUGCAUGGCUGUCGU
rnacentral:rRNA from 1 species